rnacentral:rRNA from 1 species
GAUGAACGCUAGCGGCAGGCUUAACACAUGCAAGUCGAGGGGCAGCAUAAAUAGUAGCAAUACUAUUGGUGGCGACCGGCGGACGGGUGCGUAACGCGUAUACAACCUUCCCUAAACAGGGGGAUAAUCUGGAGAAAUUCGGUCUAAUACCCCAUAACAUCAGAGCAGGCAUCUGUUUUGGUUAAAAUUUCCGGAGGUUUAGGAUGGGUAUGCGUAGCAUUAGCUAGUUGGUGAGGUAACGGCUCACCAGGGCGACGAUGCUUAGGGGGACUGAGAGGUUAAACCCCCACACUGGUACUGAGACACGGACCAGACUCCGACGGGAGGCAGCAGUGAGGAAUAUUGGUCAAUGGGCGGAAGCCUGAACCAGCCAUGCCGCGUGCAGGAUGACGGCUCUAUGAGCUGUAAACUGCUUUUGUACGAGGGUAAAGUGGGCUACGUGUAGCCUUUUGAAAGUAUCGUACGAAUAAGGAUCGGCUAACUCCGUGCCAGCAGCCGCCGUAA